UACGUAGGUGGCAAGCGUUGUUCGGAAUUAUUGGGCGUAAAGCGCGUGUAGGCGGCGUGACAAGUCGGGUGUGAAAGCCCUCAGCUCAACUGAGGAAGUGCGCCCGAAACUGUCGUGCUUGAGUGUCGGAGAGGGUAGCGGAAUUCCCCAAGUAGAGGUGAAAUUCGUAGAUAUGGGGAGGAACACCGGUGGCGAAGGCGGCUACCUGGACGACUACUGACGCUGAGACGCGAAAGCGUGGGGAGCAAACAGG
rnacentral:rRNA from 1 species